GAUUCUGUGCUCCAAAAAGUGGUUGCUGCGGUGGUCACGAUGGGGAAGUCAGAUUUUCUUACCCCCAAAGCCAUCGCCAACCGGAUCAAAUCCAAAGGACUUCAGAAGCUGCGUUGGUAUUGCCAGAUGUGCCAGAAGCAGUGCCGGGACGAGAAUGGCUUCAAGUGUCAUUGUAUGUCUGAAUCUCAUCAGAGACAGCUAUUACUUGCUUCCGAAAAUCCUCAGCAGUUUAUGGAUUAUUUUUCAGAGGAAUUCCGAAAUGACUUUCUAGAACUUCUCAGAAGACGCUUUGGCACUAAGAGAGUCCACAACAACAUUGUCUACAAUGAAUACAUCAGCCACCGAGAGCACAUCCACAUGAAUGCCACUCAGUGGGAAACACUGACUGAUUUUACCAAGUGGCUGGGCAGAGAAGGCUUGUGCAAAGUGGAUGAGACACCAAAAGGCUGGUAUAUUCAGUAUAUAGAUAGAGACCCCGAAACUAUCCGCCGCCAACUGGAACUAGAGAAAAAGAAGAAGCAAGACCUCGAUGAUGAGGAAAAAACUGCCAAAUUUAUUGAAGAACAAGUGAGAAGAGGUCUAGAAGGAAAAGAACAGGAGGUCCCUGUUUUUACAGAAUUAAGCAGAGAAAAUGAUGAAGAAAAAGUCACAUUUAACCUGAAUAAAGGAGCAUGUAGCUCAGCAGGAGCAACAUCUUCCAAAUCAGGUUCUUUAGGACCAAGUGCACUCAAGACACUAGGGAGUACAGCUUCAGUGAAACGAAAAGAAUCUUCCCAGAGCUCAGCUCAAUCUAAAGAAAAGAAGAAGAAGAAAUCUGCACUCGAUGAAAUCAUGGAGAUUGAAGAGGAAAAGAAACGAACAGCCCGAACAGAUUACUGGCUACAGCCUGAAAUCAUUGUGAAAAUUAUAACCAAAAAACUUGGAGAGAAGUAUCACAAGAAAAAGGGUAUCGUUAAGGAGGUAAUUGACAAAUAUACAGCUGUUGUAAAGAUGAUUGAUUCUGGAGACAAGCUGAAACUUGACCAGACUCAUUUAGAGACAGUAAUUCCAGCACCAGGGAAAAGAAUUCUGGUUUUAAAUGGAGGGUACAGAGGAAAUGAAGGUACCCUAGAAUCCAUCAAUGAGAAAACAUUCUCAGCUACGAUAGUCAUUGAAACUUUACCCAACUUGUGAGCAGAGGGCUUCCAAUGUAUGAAGAUGAGAACAAUAGAUUCAUUAAUCUUGGCAUUUCCUAAUGCACACUUAUAGUCAUUAUUGACACUUAAGAGACAAGCACCCUAGUGUGAAAGUCAACAAGRAAGGAAAGGAUUCCAGAAGAGACUUCUUUAGCAAGUCAUUCUCACCCCCAAUAUAUACUCUCCAUASCUCCCAGUACAAUUCCCCUUGUGUUUUAAGAGCUUUCCCAUGUUUUUGCUACAGAAUGCUGGAGGUUUUGUUGUUGUUGUUGUUUGUUUGUUUGUUUGUUUUUGUGGUGCUGGGGAUUGAACCCAGGGUCUUGUGCAUGUGAGUCAAGCACUCUACCAACUGAACUAUAUUCCCAGCCCUCAGAAUGCUGUUCUUUUAACUCCCAGCUCUAAAAUUCUGUCAAUUUGCAUGUUUAUAGGUAAACCAUCAAUUAACAGAUACUAAUUGGUAAGACACAUGGGGCUUGGAGCAGGCUCCCUGACAGAGUCAGCUGGGGAUUUCGGUUGAUGAGUUUGUUUACUGAUCCAACGCAUGUAUUAGGCCAGGCACUGAGACAUAGUAGUGACCAAAAAGCUACCUGGAAGAGUAUGGUAGGUAAGAACAACUUUCUUGAGCCUUGGCUUCCUUAUGCUUAAACUGAUWAUUUUAAAUUCUGUGUUGAUGUUGAUGUUUGGAUUUAUUUGUGCAGCCAUGCCUCAAAGACAGGAAUCCAUUCAGAUGGAGUAAU